rnacentral:rRNA from 1 species
CCUACGGGAGGCAGCAGUAGGGAAUAUUGGACAAUGGGUGCGAGCCUGAUCCAGCCAUGCCGCGUGCAGGAAGAAGGCCUUCUGGGUUGUAAACUGCUUUUGCCGGGGGAUAAAAGACCCAUGCGUGGGGAAUUGAAGGUACCCGGUGAAUAAGCCACGGCUAACUACGUGCCAGCAGCCGCGGUAAUACGUAGGUGGCGAGCGUUGUCCGGAUUUAUUGGGUUUAAAGGGUGCGUAGGCGGCCCCGUAAGUCAGUGGUGAAAUACGGCAGCUCAACUGUCGAGGUGCCAUUGAUACUGCGGGGCUUGAGUACAGUCGAGGUAGGCGGAAUUGACGGUGUAGCGGUGAAAUGCUUAGGUAUCGUCAAGAACACCGAUAGCGAAGGCAGCUUGCUAGGCUGUAACUGACGCUGAGGCACGAAAGUGCGGGGAUCAAACAGGAUUAGAUACCCUGGUAGUCCGCACAGUAAACGAUGGUCACUCGGUGUUGGCGGUACACGGCCAGCGCCUUAGCGAAAGCGUUAAGUGACCCACCGCGGGAGUACGCCGCGAGGUAGAACGACGAAGAAGUAGACGGCGNGAGACGUGCCGACGGACGACGACGAGGGAGGUUAGG